UGAAGACAGAACAUGUGCUUAAAUGUACCUCAGCUCCAGAUGCUGGAGGCGAUUUGGGCCGGAGUCGUGGAAGCCAUGGAAGCUCAGGCUUCAGCUUACCGUGUUUCUUGAUUGUACCUUUUGUUUGCUGGUCUCUGCAAGACUUCACAGAUGAAACUACUCUUGC